rnacentral:other from 1 species
GUUGAAAAGAACCGCAAAUGGUUAUACAGCCUCUUGUUUUACGCUAAGGGCAAUGCAUAAGGUAUUUUUCGCUUUUUAAUAAAAAAUCAUUAAGGAGGCCCUGUAAAUAUGGAGGGUACAGUUAAGUGGUUUAAUGCUGAAAAAGGUUUUGGUUUUAUUGAGCAGGAGGGUGGCGGUGAUAUAUUUGUUCACUUUUCUGCUAUCCAAGGGGAUGGCUUUAAAACCCUGGAUGAAGGGCAAAAAGUAAAAUUUGAAGUUGUAGAAGGAAACCGCGGUCCUCAGGCAGCUAACGUUAGCCGCAUCUAAUAAAAUAAAAACAGCUUAAAAAAGGCAUUUAAUGGAUAAUGCCUUUUUUAUU